GCCUGGGUGGCUCAGUCGGUUAAGCGUCUGACUUCGGCUCAGGUCACCAUCUCACGGUCUGUGAGUUCGAGCCCCGCGUCAGGCU
rnacentral:tRNA from 1 species